CCUACGGGAGGCAGCAGUGAGGAAUAUUGGUCAAUGGACGCAAGUCUGAACCCGCCAUGACGCGUGCAGGAAGACGGCUCUAUGAGUUGUAAACUGCGUUUGUACGAGGGUAAACGCAGAUACGCGUAUCUGUCUGACAGUAUCGUACGAAUAAUGAUCGGCUAACUCCGUGACAGCAGCCGGGGUAAUACGGAGGAUUCAAGCGUUAUCCGGAUUUCUUGGGUUUAAAGGGUUCGUAGGCGGUCGGAUAAGUUAGAGGUGAAAUCCCGAGGCUCAACUUCGGAAUUGCCUCUGAUACUGUUCGGCUAGAGAGUAGUUGCGGUAGGCGGAAUGUAUGGUGUAGCGGUGAAAUGCUUAGAGAUCAUACAGAACACCGAUUGCGAAGGCAGCUUACCAAGCUACUUCUGACGUUGAGGCACGAAAGCGUGGGGAGCAAACAGGAUUAGAUACCCCUGUAGUC
rnacentral:rRNA from 1 species